CCGAUGUUGUGUCGUGUGCGGACA
rnacentral:siRNA from 1 species